UAUACUAGAUGCCACGGGCGACAUCAUGGACCCAGCCACCCUGGCCAGACUGCCAUAUCCACUCCUCUAUCUACGUCUGUCAGUAAUUCGCUGCCUCACAGAUGACAGCCCUGACAUCGAUUGGUGCUGCGACUUGGCUCGUCAACUGUGUCCCGAAUCCAGUAAAGGGUUCUAUUUUGAAAUUGAUUUCGCUGAUACUCACCUCACUAGUGUUGGUGUGGAGAGCCUAGCACGAAGCCUCCACCAGAAGGGCAUCACCACUGAUGGCCUUUCUGUCUAUACCAAGGACUCGCUUCCCCAGGAGGAUGAAGAUCGCCUCAAGGAGCUUGUUGACUCACUUGGCCUCGGACUUCUUUCAUGUCUAGAAGCGAAUUGAGAGCCAAAAAGUAUUCACAAUAUGCAUGUGUGAUGACACAUCUAUGAGGGAACUCAAAAGGAGAGACUUCCGGCGAGCGACUGCCACAGUACACAAUCCAAGACCUUUUCAGAGUGCUGUUUAAGACCGAGACGUAUCAACCACGUUGAGCUAAUUCCCGAUACACAAAUGGCACCUUUAUAGCUGCCUAGGGAAAGUAAUUAUUUUAUUCGUCCUUAGGCCUAUCACUUUUGGAUAUAGAGAAUUGUGAACUCACCGGUAUGUAAGCUGAAAAUUGUCCUUUU